rnacentral:rRNA from 1 species
UACAGAGGUCUCAAGCGUUGUUCGGAUUCAUUGGGCGUAAAGGGUGCGUAGGCGGCGCGGUAAGUCGGGUGUGAAAUCUUGGAGCUUAACUCCGAAACUGCAUUCGAUACUGCCGUGCUUGAGGACUGGAGAGGAGACUGGAAUUUACGGUGUAGCGGUGAAAUGCGUAGAUAUCGUAAGGAAGACCAGUGGCGAAGGCGGGUCUCUGGACAGUUCCUGACGCUGAUGCACGAAAGCUAGGGGAGCAAACGGG